ACAGUUUGCGUCUUCCACGGACUCCUUGCUUCUCUGAGUGAUCUGUCGUAAGGAAGAGUAGCAAAAAAAGAAUUUUUCAGCUGGCAGUUUAUGAAGAGCACAAUGAGUGUCACAGUCAAGAGCAGAAAGAAAAACAGAACGAUCUCCACUGCGGCGUCGCUUGCUACAAUGCGAGGGGAAGAAUUACACAGUGGUGCUGAAUGUUUCUGAAGCCCGUGAUAUCUGGCAGUGACAUGAUGCUAAAAAGGAAGAGAUCUUCUGAUAAACCCUAGAUACUGAUCCAAGCAAACAGUAAAGCUGCUUGUGACAAGAUACUGUAGCCAGCAGUCCUGGAUGGUUAAACAUUUCAAUUAACAUAAUAAAUGUUUCAGCCUUGAGAGAGCGAAUGAAACGGAAAAAAAAUCCUAUGGUCAAUCAAUUGUAAAUAAAAUAUAAAAACCUCAACACUAGAGCGCGACAUCCUCUGAGGCCUCGUUCGGCACGUUCUCAGUCUUCUGCCAGACUUUAAGUAUCUGAAUUAAACCCCUUUUGCCUUCAGUAAAUCUGUUAAGGUGCUUAAAAGUUGUC